rnacentral:misc_RNA from 1 species
GAAAUGCGAUAAGUAAUGUGAAUUGCAGAAUUCAGUGAAUCAUCGAAUCUUUGAACGCACAUUGCGCCCGCCAGUAUUCUGGCGGGCAUGCCUGAUCGAGCGUCAUUUCAACCAUCAAGCCCCCGGCUUGUGUUGGGGACCUGCGGCUGCCCGCAGGCCCUGAAAAACAGUGGCGGGCUCGCUGUCACACCGAGCGUAGUAGCAUACAUUCUCGCUCAGGGCGUGCUGCGGGUUCCGGCCGUUAAACGACCUUCAUAACCCAAGGUUGACCUCGGAUCAGGUAGGAAGACCCGCUGAACUUAAGC